GACGAACGCUGGCGGCGUGCUUAACACAUGCAAGUCGAACGGAAAGGCCCUGCUUUUGUGGGGUGCUCGAGUGGCGAACGGGUGAGUAACACUUGAGUAACCUGCCCUUGACUUUUGGAUAACUUCAGGAAACUGGGGCUAAUACCGGAUAGGAGCUCCUGCUUCAUGGUUGGGGUUGGAAAGUUUCGGCGGUUGGGGAUGGACUCGCGGCUUAUCAGCUUGUUGGUGGGGUAGUGGCUUACCAAGGCUUUGACGGGUAGCCGGCCUGAGAGGGUGACCGGCCACAUUGGGACUGAGAUACGGCCCAGACUCCUACGGGAGGCAGCAGUGGGGAAUAUUGCACAAUGGGCGGAAGCCUGAUGCAGCAACGCCGCGUGCGGGAUGACGGCCUUCGGGUUGUAAACCGCUUUCGCCUGUGACGAAGCGUGAGUGACGGUAAUGGGUAAAGAAGCACCGGCUAACUACGUG
rnacentral:rRNA from 1 species